rnacentral:misc_RNA from 1 species
AUCGACACUUUGAACGCAUAUUGCAGGCUUGUGCUUGUCACAGGCCUACCCUUGUAUCAGGGUCGGUUGAAAAUCAUCCAUCAGGAGGCUUGUCGCUUCCUGCCCUGUCUCUCUGGCUGGCUUGUUCCAGAUCAAGGGACCAAGGUGAGUCCGGCAGGUUUGGCUUGCUUCCCAACUCUAGGGUUUUACUCCCGGGUUGGGUGCACGCUGCCAGACUCGUGGCGUGUGAGGAGUGUCCUAGACUUGCUCCUCUCUUGGCGCCUUUCCUUUUUUUUUCGACCUGACAUCAAGGGAGGC